rnacentral:tRNA from 2 species
GCCGGCGUGGCGGAAUGGCAGACGCACCAGACUCAAAAUCUGGCGAUGGCAACAUCGUAUGGGUUCAAGUCCCAUUGCCGGCA